rnacentral:sRNA from 1 species
UGCGUACAAACUGGGUCCGCAAAAUACC